UGGUGGAGUGAUUUGUCUGCUUAAUUGCGAUAACGAACGAGACCUUAACCUGCUAAAUAGCCGGGCUAGCUUUGGCUGGUCGUCGGCUUCUUAGAGGGACUAUCGGCUCAAGCCGAUGGAGGUUUGAGGCAAUAACA
rnacentral:rRNA from 1 species